GGAAAGAAGAAGAUAAGAGGACAUUACUACCUGAUAGGGAGCCUAGUGUGAGAUGGAGCUUCAAGAGCCAGGAGGAGUCCAGAGCGAGGUGGAGCUCCAGGUGAAGGUGGAUCAGGCACGAGAUGUGAGAUUUGAAAGGAUGAGAGACGAUAUCGCAAGGUGAGAUUUCUAUUAUCACAGGAUGAUAUUUUGAGCAGGUC
rnacentral:lncRNA from 1 species